UUUUCUCCUUAACGCGUGUAUGUGCACGUUUAUCGUUUCGUUUAUUAUGAUAGUCAUACCCUUUUUCAAAUUGCAUUAUCACUUUUUUUUCAGUUUUGAUGGAAAAUGAAAAAGGGAGCGGCUCUGAAAAUGAC
ensembl:ncRNA Y34B4A.13 ncRNA